CUUCCGCUUAAUUGAUUAUGACGUACUUGUACUGAUUGAGAUUUUAACACGAACUGAGUGGCGAACGGGUGAUUAACACAUGGGUAACCUGCCCAGAANNUAUGGGGGAUAACACCUGGAAACAGAUGCUAAUACCGUAUAACAUCAGAAAACCGCAUGGUUUUCUUUUAAAAGAUGGCUCUGCUAUCACUUCUGGAAGGACCCGCGGCGUAUUAGCUAGUUGGGGAGGUAAAGGCUCACCAAGGCAGUGAUACGUAGCCGACCUGAGAGGGUAAUCGGCCACAUUGGGACUGAGACACGGCCCAGACUCCUACGGGAGGCACCAGUAGGGAAUCUUCCACAAUGGACGCAAGUCUGACGGACCAACGCCACGUGAGUGAAGAAGGGUUUCAGCUCGUAAAGCUCUGUUGUUAAAGAAGAACGUGGGUAAGAGUAACUGUUUACCCAGUGACGGUAUUUAACCAGAAAGCCACGGCUAACUACGUGCCAGCAGCCGCGGUAAUACGUAGGUGGCAAGCGUUAUCCGGAUUUAUUGGGCGUAAAGCGAGCGCAGGCGGUCUUUUAAGUCUAAUGUGAAAGCCUUCGGCUCAACCGAAGAAGUGCAUUGGAAACUGGGAGACUUGAGUGCAGAAGAGGACAAGUGGAACUCCAUGUGUAGCGCUGAAAUGCGUAGAUAUAUGGAAGAACACCAGUGGCGAAGGCGGCUGUCUGGUCUGCAACUGACGCUGAGGCUCGAAAGCAUGGGUAGCGAACAGGAUUAGAUACCCUGGUAGUCCAUGCCGUAAACGAUGAUUACUAAGUGUUGGAGGGUUUCCGCCCUUCACUGCUGCAGCUAACGCAUUAAGUAAUCCGCCUGGGGAGUACGACCGCAAGGUUGAAACUCAAAAGAAUUGACGGGGGCCCGCACAAGCGGUGGAGCAUGUGGUUUAAUUCGAAGCUACCCGAAGAACCUUACCAGGUCUUGAACAUCUUCUGACAGUCUAAAAGAUUAAAGGUUCCCUUCGGGAACAGAAUGACAGGUGGUGCAUGGUUGNUCGUCAGCUCCUGUCCUGAAAUGUUGGGUUAAGUCCCCCAACAACCGCAACCCUUAUUACUAGUUGCCAGCAUUAAGUUGGGCACUCUAGUGAGACUGCCGGUGACAAACCGGAGGAAGGUGGGGACGACGUCAAAUCAUCAUGCCCCUUAUGACCUGGGCUACACACGUGCUACAAUGGAUGGUACAACGAGUCGCGAGACCGCGAGGUUAAGCCAAUCUCUUAAAACCAUUCUCAGUUCGGAUUGUAGUCUGCAACUCGCCUACAGGAAGUCGGA
rnacentral:rRNA from 1 species